rnacentral:rRNA from 1 species
UACGUAGGGCGCAAGCGUUAUCCGGAAUUAUUGGGCGUAAAGAGCUCGUAGGCGGUUUGUCGCGUCUGCCGUGAAAGUCCGGGGCUCAACUCCGGAUCUGCGGUGGGUACGGGCAGACUAGAGUGAUGUAGGGGAGACUGGAAUUCCUGGUGUAGCGGUGGAAUGCGCAGAUAUCAGGAGGAACACCGGUGGCGAAGGCGGUUCUCUGGGCAUUACCUGACGCUGAGGAGCGAAAGCAUGGGGAGCGAACAGG